AACCUUUAGCAUAAACAAGUAUUAAAGGCAACGCCUGCCCAGUGAACAAUUAAACGGCCGCGGUACCCUAACCGUGCAAAGGUAGCGUAAUCACUUGUCUAUUAAUUGUAGACCUGUAUGAAUGGCAUAAUGAGGGCCUAACUGUCUCUUAUAGUAAAUCAAUUAAACUGAUCUCCCAGUCCAAAAGCUGGGAUACCCCCAUAAGACCAGAAGACCCUGUGAAGCUUAAACUAAACUAUUAAACCCUAUAAUAGCUCCUUUCGGUUGGGGCGACCUUGGAAACAAAAAGAACUUCCAAACACAUGACCUCACCUCAUAUAACAUAGGCCAACAAGCCACUAUCAAGACCCAGUAUAGCUGAUAAUUGAACCAAGUUACUCCAGGGAUAACAGCGCUAUCUUCUUCAAGAGCCCAUAUCAAAAAGAAGGUUUACGACCUCGAUGUUGGAUCAGGACAUCCUAAUGGUGCAGCCGCUAUUAAGGGUUCGUUCGUUCAACGAUUAAUAGUCCU
rnacentral:rRNA from 1 species